GAAAAGUUCAAAGACAAAUGGCUUUUAUAUGCAUACUUUUGAAAGGGGACUAGAAAUUGAUAGGUAACAAAUGAGGUCAAGGACAUUCCACACAUAUGCAAAGGCACAGAAAUGUGAAAGUGUGUGGUGCAGCCAUGGACCCAUAAGUUGUCCAGCAGGUCUGAGAUCAAGUAUGUCAGAAGUAGAGGAGACAAUGCUCAGAGCCAGGCUAGAAGGGCUACACAACGUUCCUGAGAGUAUUUAUUCUGAGACAAAAAUGCCAGUCACAUCUUUAAGACCUUACUUAACAAGGAACUAACGAGAAAACAAGUUGGAAGUUUCUUCACCUGCAAGAUGGGACUAAGAAGAGCAUCCGUCUAAUUGUCAGAAUGAAGCAAUUUAUGUCAAGAGGGGAGUGCGCUGCCUGGCACAAAGGAAGUGCCCCAGAAACGUCAGGUGCUGCUGUUACCACGACUGUUUACCAAGCACAGUUCCAGUCGAAGGGUGAGACGGUGAUGGAAAAACCUGGAGCUCAAAUGUCUGAGGCGCUCUCCGAGAUGCACUGAAGCCAUAAACCCAAGAGCCCCAACGUCUCAGAGGAAGACUUUCCAAGACUUCUGCGGGUUCUCCCGAGAGUCCAGGCCUGGAAUCGGCGGCGGCGAGGGCCGACGGCAGGACAGGACAGGAAGAGCUGG
rnacentral:lncRNA from 1 species